ensembl:snRNA U1 U1 spliceosomal RNA
AUACAUACGAGCAUAUACACAUGUGUAUUUGGGUAUAUCUAUCUUACAUAAAAUAAAUCUCUCUUCCAGAUAUGCUGACCCCUGCAAUUUUCCCAAAUGUGGGAAACUUGACUGCAUAAUUUGUGAUAGCAAGGGACUGCCUUCUUGCUUUCACCUG